rnacentral:rRNA from 1 species
UACGUGGGGUGCGAGCGUUGUCCGGAAUUAUUGGGCGUAAAGGGCUCGUAGGCGGUCUGUCGCGUCGGGCGUGAAAACUCAGGGCUUAACCCUGAGCCUGCUUCCGAUACGGGCAGACUAGAGGUAUGCAGGGGAGAACGGAAUUCCUGGUGUAGCGGUGAAAUGCGCAGAUAUCAGGAGGAACACCGGUGGCGAAGGCGGUUCUCUGGGCAUUACCUGACGCUGAGGAGCGAAAGUGUGGGGAGCGAACAGG